rnacentral:lncRNA from 1 species
CCGGUUUUUUUUUUUUUUUUUUUUUUUUUUUUUUUUUUUUUUUUUUUUUUGAGACAGUCUCACUCUGUUGCCCAGCCUGGAUUGCAGUGACAUGAUCACAGCUCACUACAACCUCAACCUCCCUGGGAUCAAGCUAUCCUCCCAUCUUAGCUUCCCAAGUCAUUGGGACUACAGGGAAUGUGCCGCUGUGCCCAGCCAAACUGGAUCUUCAGUAUGUUUAUGUAACUUUCCGGGAGCAGAGGUAGGGUGUUACAGAAAGGGCAUCUACUUUAGUACAAGCAGAGAGGCAAUACUUGUUUAAGAAAUAGGAGAAACAAAAUCUUAAUAAACAUGGAUGCUUUUGUUGAGAAGAAAUAAAAAACAAAGUUUUCCAGCUGAGGCUUGAUUAGAGAGAGAAAGAAAGCUUUCACAAAGCCAGGAAGGGAAGUCUGGAAUUGAGGCAAAAGGCCAUUGGCAAAUCUCAGUGAAGGUUUAUUGAACACUUUCUAUGUGUUCCCAGGAUUCUGAGGAAACAGAGAUGAGUUGGAUACGGCCCUGCCCUGAAGGAGUUUGCAGGUUAUAGCCAAUGAUAAGUGGGAAAGUGGACUCUUAAAAAGACUAGUUUGACAAGAUUAUAUAGAAGAGAUGGAAAGUUAAGAAACCCUAAGCACAAAAGUUGAGGCAGAAUCCAAACUGAAGGCAAAGUAUGUCUAGCAGGUCAUUUUAGGGACAUUGAUUUGUUUGGCUUCUUCUUCCCCAGUGUUUUCAGCUUUGGAGCUUCAAUCGAACUUUUGAGACAAGAAGGUAAGUUAAGGUUUCUAAAAUUGCAAGAAAAAUUUCUUAUAGUAUAAAUACAUACUGUGCAACAUUCACUGUUUAUGUGAAAUUUAAUUUGACUGGGCAUAUUGUAUUUUGCAAUGCAUUUGCUUAUUCUAGUCAUUGUUCCUAAAUGUCAUUCAUCCUCUGCAAUUGAUGUACUUGAUUGUGUUCUGUGUUUAUUUACAGAGGAAAGACAAGAAAAGUGUCUUCUUCACAAUUUUAUUAUUUUGGUGUCAAAGAUUCCAGUUGAUUAUCCCUUUCUAUCUCCAAAGUCUGGCAAACCCUACUUACCUCCCCAACUGCUUUCGAAAGCAUAAACAAAAUAAAAUAACAUCAUCAAAGAUUCCAGAAGAUUGGGAAAGGUGUGGAAGGUAGUGAUUAAAGUAUAGUUGUAAGGGCCCUUUGACAUCAAUUUUAUUCUCUCAGGGGGCUUAAAGUGUUUCUUUUCUGCUUCCUUUACUACAAAGAUAUUUCACUCAAACUCUAUCUUGUUAUAGACUCUUGAAAACUGGGGAUAUGGUUUCUAGCCUUGUAAUUUGUGUAAUAAAAUGUCAGUCAUAAAAACCACUGGGAAUCUGGGACAUUUGUAAUGAUUGGGCUGUCGUUAAAAUACAUGAUUGCUCAAAGGUAUGGCUUAACCCAGGAAAACACAAACCACAAUAAAAGGUCACAUGGAAGAUACAGGCAUGGGCAGGCAUCACUUGGUGGCAAGCAACAGAAAUCCCUUAAGAAAGCGCGAGUGAAAAGCAAUUUAUUUCAGGGGACUCUGAUGGUAUUUUGAAGAAGGUAUAACUCCUGGAACUGGAAAGCUUUGAGAUACUUAUCUCUCUCUCUCUCUCUGUCUCUGCCUCUCUCUUUCUCUCUGCCUCUCUCUGUCUCUCUCCCUCACGAAUCUCCCAUAGUAUUGGGUGUAAUCUUCACCUAUUCCAAAAUGUAGUAAGCACCUUAGUUUACAUGGCUUUCCAAGUCUUGCACCUGUGGCUAAAUAACUACAGUGUUGGUGUCUGAAUUCAACUUCCUGUGAAGGAGACCCUUGAGUGCCUACCCUUCAUCAGGUGUUCAUCAGUAGGAUGGGGGAAGGGUCCCAUGGCUCCCGAUGUCUUUAACAGGACUCUGGGCAUGGAUUUGGGCAGUUAAUUAGACAGAGCAGCUAAAUCAAGUGACAUAUUUUCCUUUAAUUGCUCCUAACUAGAAUAAGAGGAUGAUUUGUGUCCUGAUUUUUAUGAACUUUUGCAUUCUUUCUCAAGUUCUAAAUUCAUUGAGUAAAUCCUUCAGAACAUUUGACCUUGUAUUAUGGGUUUUGUGGUUUAAAUUUCCCAUGAAGUUAAUUAUACCAUGGACAGUAUUGGGGUGAAAGUAUAGUCCCUAAGAUCAUGUUUAAAAUGUUUUGUCUCAGAAUUUUAAUACCCCUUUUGGCCUGUAAACACUUUGUAGCACCAUGAUAAGCAAAGACAGUAUUUGAUGCAGGUCAGUUUUAAGUGGGAGAAGGAGGAGUCUCUUUAAUUUAGAGAGGCUUAAUAAAGGACAUUUCACUGAACAAUUGGUUAUAACAAUUGAGUUUUCUAGAGGUUUUUUU